AACGAACGCUGGCGGCGUGUUUAAGACAUGCAAGUCGCACGGGAUUGAUUGAGUAGUAAUACAAGAUCAGUCUAGUGGCGCACGGGUGAGUAACAUGUGAAUUACAUGCCCUUCAGUGGGGAAUAGCCCUGGGAAACUUGGAUUAAUACCCCAUGGUAUCGCAAGAUUAAAGGUGGCCGCAAGGCUGCCGCUGAAGGAUUGGUUCGCACCCUAUCAGCUUGUUGGUGAGGUAAUGGCUCACCAAGGCUACGACGGGUACCUGGUCUGAGAGGACGAUCAGGCACACUGGAACUGAGACACGGGUCCAGACACCUACGGGUGGCAGCAGUCGAGAAUAAUUCACAAUGGGGGCAACCCUGAUGGUGCAACGCCGCGUGGGGGAUGACGGGUCUUCGGGAUUGUAAACUCCUGUCAUCUGGGA
rnacentral:rRNA from 1 species